GUCCAGUGUACUUAUGAGAGAAGGUAUGCAGAGAUGAGUACUAGCAGCGGUGUGCUUGCUGAGGACAUCAUGUCAUUUGGAAAAGAAAGUGAACUUGUACCCCAGCGUGCUGUCUUUGGCUGUGAAACUAUGGAAACUGGUGAUCUUUAUACUCAACGUGCUGAUGGGAUUAUGGGUUUGGGCCGUGGUACACUUAGUGUGAUGGACCAACUUGUUGGCAAGGGUGUUGUGAGCAA
rnacentral:misc_RNA from 1 species